rnacentral:tRNA from 1 species
GGAUGUAAAUUUGUUGGUACAAGUUGUGACACAUAUACGCCACACUAUCUCUGUAAGUCACUGUUUUUUAUGGAUAUUCGUUGGGCUCAUAACCCAAAGGUCGUAGGUUCGAAUCCUACUCCCUCUA